GGGUUUAAUUCACAUCCCCCUUAUUAUCAAAGCAAUAGGCUGGCCGGUGAAAAUUGCGAUCAUCCUGUUUAUUAAAAGGGCUCAGCAGGGAAUGAGUCACUGGUACAGACGGUUCCUCUAAUUCUUUCCAAGUAUUUUUUUUGCAAGCCUGUGUUAAAUUCUAAUGUCUACGUUAGCAAUCUUCCUUUAUUAGGACUGGUGUAAAAGCUCAAUCUGGUCUUAAAAUUCGCCUUCGAGACCGAGCAAGCGAAGAUUCUGUGACAUUCAUCGUCUCCCCUCACCUGAACCAACUAUUUUCAGGUUCAUAUCUGGGAACAGUCACGUGAGCCACAUGAUCAGCGAGCGGGUGCAGUUGGAAAACGAUUUUAUACGGGAGCGGCUGUCAUCAUUUGUUCACUGGGAAAGAAUUUUGUAAACACAGUUAAAAAUCUGCGGAGACGGCAGACCUGUGAAUCCAAACAGAGAAUACUGGAGAAACUCAGCAGAACUGCUCACCGUCUACAAACUUCGAAUCCUGACCCUCUGAUGGAAUGUUGGGUUCAGUUCAUCCUCAUCCAUGUUUCUUCACUAAGGCCGAGCCUGCAUUUUGUUCGAGGUGUUGAGCUUUCAACCGGUCCAACAUCAAGUAGAUUCUCGAUUUAAAACCACCGAGGCCGCUGCUCCCUCUGUCUCGGUCGCAAACAGGGAGCAGUUGGCGCGGGUUCAGGCUCACUUUUGAAGCCGGGGUCAGUGACUUUCGAAAGAAACGAAAUGUUUAAACAACAAAGAAAAAUGAAUUAGCGACGACCAUGGCGCCACAUAGGUUAGAAUCAAAAGAAUGAGGCGUGUUUUCAUAUUGAUACCUUCAAACCCGAAAUUUAAUCAAGAGGACAUGGGAAUCCUGUAACAAACUGGGCAGAUCUGGAUGUGGAAUAUUAUGUGAAUAAUUUAAAAGAAAUACGGGAUGACGUUUUAAGUGUACAAGACCCGGUGUGUAAUUUAUUCAUCACGGUGUGUUGAGACCUGUUUAACAGACCCAUUAGUAUCAAGAGCAGUUACGUGACCAGAGAAGGGGAGCAGAAAGCAAUCUCCUCCAGAACGGAUUUCAUCAAAUUGGAACAAAUGCCGCCUGAUCCAUGUGUGUUUUCGGCACCGGAGUCUCUUCCAUUAACUACAUCAAUUCUUUACAACUGCCUCCUCCAGACUGUCCACUAAUCGCCCGAGCAACGCAUGAGGUUGGCUUCAUAGGGGGAGGCAGAAUAUGUCAGGCUUCUGUGUAAUUCGCCGAGAAACCCCAGCACAGCUCAGGAAAAACAAAUAGAAUAGCACUUCUUUGGUGAUUUGCAUUAAUGAAAAUACAGUGAACUGCGUAUGAAUGCCAUAAUUCGGCGCCAUUUUAAUUACAGAAUUAUAAAAAGAGAUCAUUGAGACAAAGUUCAUCUUUUGUCCCCUUCACGAUUCCCGAGUGGCUGCAGGUCGCCAUCGCCAACACCGAUGUUUCCUCAUUAACCUGCGCAGAGAUCUUAAUACCCGCCUUUGGACUUGAACCCGGGCCUCUCGGCACAGAGGUAGGAACACCACCACUGUGCCACAAGGCCCCGAAAUGUAGAAGAUUUUUUUUAUUACAGCAAUGUAACUUUCAGAUAUUUUUGAUCAACCGGUUCAAAUAUAUUAUGACAGCUGUGAAACAGGUGGGACCUCAACCUGGCCAUCCUGACUCAGAGGCAGGGACACUACCAUUGUGUCACAAGGCUAUUAACGAUUGACAUCUGGUUCUGUAGUCCACUGAAAAUGGAGUCAUUACAGUUGUCCAUUUUAUAUAAUUGUUUUGUUUUUAAACUGGGUCAGUGUGAUGGGGUUAGUCAUGUAUUAAUCAAUUUCUAGGUGAUUUUUAACAGUGUCCCUAACCAACAUUCUUUGGCAACGUUUACUAGAGAUGGAGGACACAGUUAUAAUCUGCUCCUUAUAAAUGUUACACAACUAUGUUUCAAAGGAUAACACGGUCCAUGUAAAAUUAUUAUUUUACAACUUGUCUAUUGGGGGAGGGAGAUAUCGGGGUCAGUGGAGCUGCCCCUUCUCCCAAUAAACCAUUAGUCGCUUCUAUGUUACAUGAUAAAUGAUAACGUGCCUCCCUCUCACACUAUGAGCUGUAUCCCACCUUUGCAACUCCAUUUUGAUUUCCCCUCUUCCCCCCUCUAUCUCGUUCUCUCUCACUCACUUUUGAUAGUUUGCACUUUCCUUAAUGAGCUUUGCAGGUAAACGAUUCAAUUAAAAGACACGAGUGAUUUACUGGUGGUGGUUAAUGAAUGAAAAAACAUCACGAGUGAUUUGAUGAUGAAGAAGAGAAAACGUUGAGUUGUAACAGCACUUCUGGACAUAAAAAAGGAAAAGCAAUUUUUAAAUCCUACUCAAGUGUUUGACGAAAGUUCAGGCACUUUCUUUAUAGUUCAUCCAUGACAUGGAGGUGCCGGAGUUGGACUGAGGUGGCAGUUACCUGACGGAGGAGCAGCGCUCCGAAAGUUUCUACUUUCACAUAAACCUGUUGGACCAUAACCUGGUGUCCUCUGAUUGUUAACUUCAUUGUACAGGACAGCCUUAACAAUCAAGCUGGAGAAACUCCUGUUAAAAUUCGCCCCACGCCUUUGUGCAGGUCUAUUCUAGAGGCAUUUGCACCGCAUCUUUGCGAGGAAUUUGAGUAAGCGAGGGGUCGGCUAUUCAUCCCCUUAAAACUCUACAGCGAUCCAAGCUGGAUCUGGGCCUAUUUGGGAUCUUAGUUUCACCAACGCGUCCUAGCUCUUUAACCUCCAUCCAUGUCAAAUUCUGAAAUUCCCACGUUAGAAACAGUCUGACCUAACAUUGGGACACAGACAAAUUUUAACUUUACACCUUCAAUGCAUUAUCUGAGCUGAGAUGGCUCAGAUAUUGCUAAAAGCUAUCUUGAGAAUGUAACUUUAAAAAAAGUUCUGGGAUAUACAUAUGAAAGAACCGAAACUAACAUGACCAUUCUAAAGGAGGAAACACUUAAGCUAAAUUUGUUUAAUAUUACAUUCUAAUGCACUGCAAUCCUGUUGCAAUAAAUUCUGUGAUGUGAUACUUCUCCACAACCACCAGGUGAAGGAGCGGCGCUCCGAAAGCUAGUGCUUCCAAAUAAACAUGCUGGACUAUAA